GCCACGGGUGGCGUGGCGAGGAGAUGGCCGGCUUCGACAGCGAACAGCCGCGUGCCCGAAACGGCCGCUGGUGCCGCACAAGCGCCCGCGCUAAGGCUCGGGAGGCCAAAAACAAGUACAAUAUGGCUAUGCAGCAACUCAAUGAAGCCCAGGAAGCGAACAAGGAAAUGGCCAUUAAGCUUGCUUGUGCCGAAUCGAAGGCAGCUCAGUUGGAAGCCUCCCUCAGAAAAGAAGAAGCAACAGUAGCCAAGCUAAAAGCAGAGAAGCAAGUGCUUAUUGCAGAAAUUGAUCUCGCGGAAGAAGAGAAAGCAGGACUUGAAGUUCAACUCGAAGAAGCGGAAGAAAAAAAGCAGUACUUAGAAAUGCACUGAUAGAUGCGAAAUUGGAGUUAGCUAAAAAGUAGGAUUAGCAUCCUUUUGGUUUGUGCAACUGAUGGAUGGUUGGAUGCUGAAUAUUCAGUAGGUUAUGCAUCCUUUUGGUUUGUGCAACUGAUGGAUGGUUGGAUGCUGAAUAAUCAGUAGGUUAUGCAUCCUUUUGGUUUGUGAGAUGUCUUGUAAUUGUGCAACCUGAUAAAAUGGACCAGUAGGUUGUGCAUCCUUUUAGUUUGUGAAUGUCUUGUAAUUGUGCAACCUGAUCAAAUGAACCUGUAGUGUGGAAC